UUCAGAGGAGGCUCUUCUGAGGCUGCUGCCAGUGGUCAAAGUCUCCAACAAAGCUCUACUGAGCAACUGUAACGUAUCAGAGGAAGGCUGUGAAAAUUUGUUGUCAGUGGUCAGCUCCCAGUCCUGUAGUCUGAGAGAGCUUGACUUGAGUACCAACAGCCUGAAGGCUUCAGCAGUAAAGCUUCUGUCUGCUGCAGUGGAGAGUCCACACGCCAAGCUGAAUAUUCUGAGACUUAACAUCUGUGAACUCUUAGAGGAACACUGUGAAGCUCUGUCCUCAGUUCUCAGCUCACAGUCCUCUAGUCUGACAGAGCUGGACCUGAGUAUAAGAAAGCUGCAGGAUUCAGGAGUGACGCUUCUGUCUGCUGGACUACAAAGUUUAAACUGUAAACUGAAUACUCUGAGGUCAGAUCAGAAAACAUUUUGUUCUUAGACUUAUUAAUUAAAGUUCAUCCAUGUGAUUUUGUAUCUUAGUAUGUUAAUGUUUCCUUUAAAAAUAGAAAGUUGUGAAAUGUAUUAACAAAUGUAUUGGCCUGUAAAUGGUAAAUGGCCUGUAUCUGUAUAGCGCUUUACUAGCCCCUAAGGACCCCAAAGCGCUUUACACAUCCAGUCAUCCACCCAUUCACACACAC